UUUUCUCAUGAUAUGGAUUUAUUUUUCGACUAAAAAUAUAAUUAUUUAUUUGUCAUGAUAUAAAUUUAGACUAAAAUUAAAUAAUAUUAAUAUGAAAAUUUCUAAACUAUAAGAGCUAAUGUGAAUGCUCCUUUUUUAUUACUUUAAAAAGUUAAUAACAUUAAUUUUUUCCGUUGCAACACACUAUUAAGCUACUAUAUUUCUCUCUAUUAUUUGAGACUUUUUCUAACGAGCAAAAAUACCAAAGCAGUGUGAAAAUAACUUCACUUAAAAACAAAUAUUUUUAGUUCAAUACACCGUGGCGAAGCGGGCAUUUUGGUAGUCUUCAAAAAUACCCAAAUCAAUCAAUCGACACAACAAAAAACAGCACGAAAAUACCAAAUUUAAUCUAGAGCUCAUGAAUUUGGUCCUCCCCGCCGCCCGACGACCCUAGGGACCUCCCUCGCCUGCCACCGCGUCACCGUCCUCGCCCCUCCGCCACGCCCCUCCACCACGGCGCGCCGCCAGCCUGGCCGACAGGGCCCCACCUCCUGCCAUUCGCCCCGGGCACUGGCCUCGGCGCCCUCCACCGGCCGGUCACGGCCGCCGCCGCUGCUCCUCCUCGCUUAGCCGCCGCCGCUCCUCCUCCUCCUCCUCGCCGGCCACCGCGUCGCCGUCCUCGCCCUCCGCCACGGCGUCCUUCAAAAAUAAAAAUCCCCCAGCUUGAUCCCCAAAUAAAUCGAACAAUGAGACAACCAAAAACAGCACAAAAAAGCCAAUUUUAAUCUAAGAGCUCAUGAAUCCCAAUGUCCGAUUCCAAAAAAAUAAAAAAUAAACUCGAGCAAAAAAAAAAAGAAAAAAAAAGGCGACCGGAUCCGCCCUCGGCUGCCGCCACCGCCGCGGGAUCCACCCGCGGACGUCGCCGAUGCCACCACCGCCGGAUCCGCCCUCGGCGCCACUGCUCAUUAGAGGCUGAGGACGCCGCUGCCCGAGGCCUUGGUGGCUUGGCGGGGGCACCGCCGUGCGCCGCGAGGGUACUGUCGCCGAGGAGAGGGCGCUGCCAGCCAGGGGGAGGGCGUCGCGGCUGAGGCGCUGACCGCCAAGGGUAGGGCACCACCCGCCGGGGGAAGAGCGCCGUCGACCGGGGGGGGGGGGGGCUGAGCAGCCGCCCACCGGGUGAAGGACGUCGCCGGCCAGGGGGAGGGCGCCGCGGCUGGGGCACCAACCGCCAAGGGUAGGGCGUCGUCGCCGGAGGAAGGGCGCCGCCGGCUGGAGGGAGGGUGCCGUGGCUGAGGGGUACGGGGAGUAACGCUGCAGUGGGGCAGAGGGGGAAGGGCGGAGAUGGAGGGCGUCGCUAGCUGUGAGUAGAGAAGGAGAAAAGGAGUGAAAGGAAAGAGAGCGCAACGGAGGAGAGGAGAUAAGGGCGAGCGGCAGAGGAGAGAAACACCGAGAGGAAUGAGCUCGGCGAGAACGAGGAGAUAAUGACGGGCGGAAUUAUCGAGGCGCAGGG
rnacentral:lncRNA from 1 species